CCUACGGGAGGCAGCAGUGAGGAAUAUUGGUCAAUGGGCGCGAGCCUGAACCAGCCAAGUCGCGUGAGGGAAGACGGUCCUAUGGAUUGUAAACCUCUUUUGUCGGGGAGCAAAAGACGCCACGCGUGGCGUUCAGAGAGUACCUGAAGACAAAGCAUCGGCUAACUCCGUGCCAGCAGCCGCGGUAAUACGGAGGAUGCGAGCGUUAUCCGGAUUUAUUGGGUUAAAGGGGUGGGCAGGCGGAAGAUCAAGUCAGCGGUAAAAUUGAGGGGCUCAACCUCUUCGAGCCGUUGAAACUGGUUGUCUUGAGUGAGUGAGAAGUAGGCGGAAUGCGUGGUGUAGCGGUGAAAUGCAUAGAUAUCACGCAGAACUCCGAUUGCGAAGGCAGCAUACCGGCGCUCAACUGACGGUCAUGCACGAAAGUGUGGGUAUCGAACAGGAUUAGAUACCCGGGUAGUC
rnacentral:rRNA from 1 species